AAAAUAUUUUUCACCAAUCAUGUAUUAGAUUCUAGGCCUACACUGCUAAGUUGCAAUAUCGUAGGCCGGGGCCUUGUAUUAGAGGUGGCUAUGGUACAGCCCACUGCUUUGCACUUAUUACCUAGGAGAGUGUUCUUAUCCCUAAAAUGGAUGUUUUCACACUGACCGAUUCCUCGCCGACACGACACGACAGAAAGCUCUCCGAUUAGGUUGACGUAUCAAGAAUCGGAUAGCGUCGUGUCGUGUCGUGUCGUCGAGGAAUCGGCAAGUGUGAAAACGGCCAAUGAGUGAUUGAGAGAAUAAAAGUUGAUGAGAUGAAUCUAUAGUAGCGUACAGACUUGGGCGCCAUGAACACGUUUUGCUUUCCAUCAUUUGAUGAUAUACUUAUCAUAUCUGUAUUUCUACAUAUGGAAAUUACCGAAUAUCUGUAUUUGUACAGGAACAGUGAGAUCAAUUGAUGAUAUACUAAUCAUAUCUGUAUUUGUAGAGGAACUGUGAGAUAGAGUUAUAAUCACGGUAUAUAGAAGAAGACGGUAGGUGUCACGCGCAUGUUUGUGCUAAAUUUCCGGUGUAGCUGACGUCAUUUUAUAUCCAAUCAUCUGUUUUCAAGAAAUAAGUUUCAUAAAUUGCCAAUAGGUGUUGAAAGCCUCGGUUGGUGGCGAUGACGUAAUCUAGCUAGCUGGCCACUGCGCACACAUUUCGUGGCCCCUACCGUUUUCAUCUAACUACCGUGGUUAUAAUAAGCAUAGAAUCAGCUGAUGAAAAGCGAAAUGCGCGUAUUCGUAGCACAUAAGUCUGUACGCGCCAUAUGAGUGCUAAUAGAGUAUGAUUGACAACACUCCAGAUUUCGUUUUGUGCGUGUAUCAAAGGACGUUGACAUUAUUUUAAAUAACCCUGAAGACUUGUUCACCUCCUGAUUUCUAUUAUUCUGUCUCUAUUUCAUCGUAAUAAAUUACCUAUUUUGUUUUGUUCAUAUUCCUCUAAACAAGUUCGGUCUCAAAUUUUUUUACCGUAACUGAUUUUUCGUUGUGUUCACCAUGUUCCUUGUACUGAAAUACAUGGAAAGUAAUUA